AUUUGUCUUCACUUACCGUGGCAGUGAAUUUUGCUAGUGCCCAGAAGAAAACUGUGUGGGAUUGGGAUAUUCGGUUUAAAAGGUUAUAGGAAAGACUUCCUGCUGCUGUUUGGUGCUGAAACAGCCUCCAAGAUGCUUGAGAAGUGGGACACCUCAUUCAAGCCCAAGGUCAUCAAAGAGGCCAAACAACUGACUCCGAACAACUGAGCUGUGCCGACUUCUAAAAGCUGCUGAGAAACUUGCAGAGAACGAUGAAACGGUGACAUCGAUUCUAUGCUGCUUCUUCUCUUGCCACCCAAAUCUGGACGGAAGAGGACCAAAAUAAGUCAAAGUGAUGCAGUUGACAAAAUGGUGCACUUUCAUAAGUCAUGCUGCAGCAUCAAUGAAUAUCUGCAGGAAAGGGAGAGUAAACAACCAUACAUCCUUGCCAUUGGCCGAACCCAGAAGGCGAUUGAUACCUUCUACAUCGCCGUUGACAAACAGCUCAUCCUCUGCCAAGCCACCAGCUCGUUGGGUGCUUUUGAUGAACUGUUUAAAUCCCACUACGUGUUCAACUUGUCUUAUGAUGAGUCCCUGGUCCAUUUCCACACUUUUCUGCAGACAACGGUCUACAACAUUGAUGUUACCACAACAGAUGAGUCUCCAAGAGUUUGUGAGUUGCGGGCGAAACUUUUGAAUGACAUAUGAAUAUGUUUAAAUGUUUCAUAUGCCAAGCAGUGCAUGCUACCAGCCAGUGCCUAAUAACUCAUUUGCGAAUCUGUCACAGUUUCUAUCCAAGCACUAGGUUUAAGUUAGUUUGUGCACAAGAUCAUUGUAGGUGUCACUUUUCAACAUUUUCAGGUUUUAAAAAGCAUUUAAUU